UCCUGAGGCGCCUAAAGAUUAU
rnacentral:siRNA from 1 species